UAAUACCAGCCCCGCGAGUGGUAGGGACGAUUAUUGGGCCUAAAGUGUCCGUAGCCGGCUCGGCAAGUCUCUCUUCAAAACUCAUGGCUUAACCAUGAGAACGGAGAGAUACUGCUGGGCUAGGGGGCGGUAGAGGUCGGGGGUACUUCUGGGGUAGGGGCGAAAUCCUAUAAUCCCAGAAGGACCGCCAGUGGCGAAAGCGCCCGGCUGGAACGCGCCCGACGGUGAGGGACGAAAGCUGGGGGAGCAAAGGGGAUUAGAUACCCCCGUAGUCCCAGCUGUAAACGAUGCGGACUAGGUGUUGGACGAACUUCGAGUUCAUCCAGUGCCGCAGGGAAGCCGUUAAGUCCGCCGCCUGGGGGGUACGGCCGCAAGGCUGAAACUCUGUAAGUAUUGUUACUUACAGGGCAGUGAACUUAAAGGAAUUGGCGGGGGAGCACCACAAGGGGUGGAGCCUGCGGUUC
rnacentral:rRNA from 1 species